AUGAGAAUCAGAACUCCCAAUGACAACCACACUUCCCAAGGACAAUCAGAAUUCCCAGGGGACAAUCCCAGGGGACAACCCCAGCAUUCUCAGGGGACAACCCCAGCUCCCAGGAGACACUCCCAGGGGACAGUCCCUGCUUCCAGGGGACAAUCCAGCAUUCCCAAGGACAAUCCCAUCUCCCAGGGGACAGUCAGAACUCCCAGGGGACAACCAGAAUUCCCAGGGGACAAUCCCAACUCCCAAGGACAAUCCCAACUCCCAGGGACAACCACACUUUUCAAGGACAACCCCAGCUCUCCCAGGGGACAUUCCCAGGGGACAAUCCCAGCUCCCAAGAACAACCACAAUUCCCAAGGACAACCAGAAUUUCCAGGGGACAAUCCCAGCAUUCCCAAGGACAAUCCCAGCACUCCCAGGGGACAAUCCCAGCUCUCAAGGACAACCCCUGCUCCCAUGGGACAAUCACAGGGGACAGUCCCUGCUUCCAGGGGACAAUCCAGCAUUCCCAAGGACAACCCCAGCAUUCCCAGGGGACAUUCCCAGGGGACAACCCCAGAUCUCAAGGAACAACCCCAGCAUUCCCAGGGGACAAUCCCAGCUCCCAGGGAACAAUCACAACUCCCAAGAACAACCACACUUCAAGGACAAUCCCAACUCCCAGGGGACAAUCCCAGGGAACAAUCCCAGGGGACAGUCCCUGCUCCCAGGGGACAAUCCCAGCAUUUCCAAGGACAAUCCCAGCUCUCAAGGACAACCCCAUCUCCCAGGGAACACUCCCAGGGGACAAUCCCAUCUUCCAGGGGACAAUCCCAGCACUCCCAGGGUACCCUCCCAGGGACAGUCCCUGCUCCCAGGGGACAUUCCCAAGAACAACCCCAGCAUUCCCAAGGACACUCCCAGCUCCUAGGGGACAUUCCCAAGGACCCUCCCAUCUCCCAGGGUACCCUCCAGGGACAGCCCCCACUCACCCAGCACCUUGGUGACCCUCAGCAGUUUCCUGCCUCUCCCAGCAGCCUGGGCAGGGCCGGGGGUGCCCGGCACGUUNUCCCCGCUCUGCUGCAGCCUCAGCGCCUUCUCCCUCUUGAUCUCCUCCAGGGUUUUGAUCCGAACCUCUGCAGCUCCCCUGGCCCUGCCAGCCUGUGCCAGCUGCACCCUGCCAGCAGCUGGGGCACCGAGGUUCUGUCUCCUGGCAUCUCCCUCGCUUCUGGCCCUGCUGCUCAACUCCUCAGCUUUCUCCUUCUCCUCUCCCAACCUUUUGUGGUUUUUUUCCACCAAGGCUCCCAUCAGGGAUUUGCUGCGAGCAGCAGGGGAAGGUUUGGCUGCUGAAUUUGGUUCUUCAGUUUUCCUUCCUUCUGCUGGGAUUUUGGCUGGGGGUUCUCCUGCUCUCCUCUGCUUGGCUCUCUCCAGGCGGAUUUCCUCCAGGGUUUUCACUCUGAUCUCCUCGAUGGGUUUGGCAGCUUGGUCUGAAAAAAUCCAGGAGUGAAACAGAGAAGGGGGAAAAUCUCCAGAGGGAAUUUGGGAUUGAGGGCUCUCAGUGAUCCUUGGGUUGAAGGAUUUGGAGGAGCAUCCAGGGACACUUUUCCCUUAUCCCAGGUGGCUGCAAACAGGACUGGGACACUCCAGGGAUGGGGAAAACACAAAUUCUCUGGGAAUGAGUGUGGAGUGCUGAAAUUGGGAUUUUUUAAUGGAAUAAUGGAAUGGUUUGGGUUGGAAGAUCUUAAGGAUGAUCCCAUUCCCACCCCACGGUCCCAGGGAGCCCCAAACCCCAUCCAGGCCUGGGAUGGGGCAGCCACGGAUUCUCUGGGAAUGAAUCAAUUCUGAAAUUGGGAUUUUUUUUUCUCUAGGAAUGAAUCAAUUCUGAAAUUGGGGUUUUUUUAUGGGAUUCUCUGGGAAUGAAUCAAUUCUGAAAUUGGGAUUUUUUUACAGAAUUAUGGAAUGGUUUGGGUUGGAAGAUCCUAAGGAUCAUCCCAUUCCCAGCCCUGUCAUUUCCCAUGGUCCCUUGAUCCCAAACCCCAUCCAGCCCUGGGAUGGGGCAGCCACGGAUUCUAUGGGAAUUUGCAGGCUGGGAAUGAGUCUGGAAUCCUGAAAUUGGGAUUUUUUAAUGGAAUUAUGGAAUGGUUUGGGUUGGAAGAUCCUAAGGAUGAUCCCAUUCCCACCCCAUGGUGCCAGGGUGCCCCAAACCCCAUCCAGGCCUGGGAUGGGGCAGCCAUGGAUUCCCUGGGAAUGAAUCAAUUCUGAAAUUGGGAUUUUUUUUUAAUGGGAUUCUCUGGGAAUGAAUCAAUUCUGAAAUUGGGAUUUUUUUACAGAAUUAUGGAACGG
ensembl:lncRNA